rnacentral:rRNA from 1 species
AAGGCGACGAUCGGUAGCUGGUCUGAGAGGAUGAUCAGCCACAUUGGGACUGAGACACGGCCCAAACUCCUACGGGAGGCAGCAGUGGGGAAUAUUGGACAAUGGGCGCAAGCCUGAUCCAGCCAUGCCGCGUGAGUGAUGACGGCCUUAGGGUUGUAAAGCUCUUUCGUCAGGGACGAUAAUGACGGUACCUGAAGAAGAAGCCCCGGCUAACUUCGUGCCAGCAGCCGCGGUAAUACGAAGGGGGCUAGCGUUGUUCGGAAUUACUGGGCGUAAAGCGCGUGUAGGCGGGUCUUUAAGUCAGGGGUGAAAUGCCAGGGCUCAACCUUGGAACUGCCUUUGAUACUGGAGAUCUUGAGUCCGGGAGAGGUGAGUGGAACUGCGAGUGUAGAGGUGAAAUUCGUAGAUAUUCGCAAGAACACCAGUGGCGAAGGCGGCUCACUGGCCCGGUACUGACGCUGAGAUGCGAAAGCGUGGGGAGCAAACAGGAUUAGAUACCCUGGUAGUCCACGCUGUAAACGAUGGAUGCUAGCCGUUAGGCAGCUUGCUGCUUAGUGGCGCAGUUAACACUUUAAGCAUCCCGCCUGGGGAGUACGGUCGCAAGAUUAAAACUCAAAGGAAUG